ACGAGGUAACCUAUUAAUUAUAGUGAAUGACAGAUACUUAUUUUUCAUAAUGUAGAUUUUUUGAGAAAAAAUAAUAAUUUUAUUCUCAUUUUUUAGAUUAUUACAUUUAGUGUGUUUAUAAAACUUUUAAACUAUUAAUAAGAAAAUGAUUUAUUUUGAUAGAAUUUCUAUUAUAAUAAAAUAAUUAUUUUAAUAAAUAAUAGUAAAGUAUUUUAUUGAACAUCCCCCUCAAAUUCGUGUAAGGAUAUCGCACAUGUUCAACUUGCAAACCAAAUUAUGAAAAGUCAUCAUGCAAUUUACCAAAAGCGUACACGCGCUCGACUCAGCUCAAACAGCCUGACUCGACUCAAAAUGGUUCAGUCUGGCUCAAAACGAAUUGACCUGGCUCAACAUAGCUUGGCUCGGCUCAAAUUGACUCGGUCGGGCUCAAAACGACUCAGUUUCAGCUCAAAAACGAUUCGAACUUGACUCAAAACAGCUUGAAGUCGGCUGAAAAAUGGCCGGAAGCCGGCUUGGCUUGAAAAACAGCUCGGCUCGAAAAAUGACUAGGCUCAGUUGAAACUCAGCUGGCUAAAACUUGGCUCGGCUUGGUGCAGACAGCUCGACUCGGGCUGAAAUCGUAUCGACUCAACGAUUCAGAUUGGCUCAAUGCAGUCGGGCAGAAAAAUUCUCUGUGUGCGGCUCUGCGCGCAGCGGAAGUGAAGUUGGAUCGUGCAGAUCUUCGCGCGGCUUUAUGCGCAAUGGAAGAAAAAGCUGGGUCGAUCGGAUCUUCGCACGUCUCUGCACGCGGAGAAAGAAGGAACUGGAGGUGGUCGUGCGGCUCUGCACGCGGCUAAAGAAGAAGGAAACCGAGGUGUUCGCGCAACUCUGCACGUAGCUGAAGAAGGACACCGCAAGUCUUUACGCGCGUCUGCGCGGCAGAAGAAGGAACUAGGUCGUGCGGCUCUGCGUGCGGUGGAGGAAGAAAUCGGCUGCUCUUUGUGCGACUCUGCGCGCAGUGGAGGAAGGAACUGACUGCUUUCUCCCUUCCUCUGAUCUUUCCUUUCUUCCCCUGAUCUAGCUCUCUUUCUACUCAGUUUAUUUUUGUUGUUUUAGGAUUUUAAAAGAAAUCCUCAAAUUAAAUUCGUAAAAUAGUUUUAUUUUGCUGCGAUACUAUAUAGAUUUUUAGAGAAAAAAUAAUAAUUUAUUUCAUUUUCUAA
rnacentral:lncRNA from 1 species